GUAGAGUACAUUUAACUUUAUUGAGCUCGUGGCCACCAUGGUCACAAGUGACAAUUACUCCAUAAUUGCUGCAUCAAAGUAAAGCACAAAUAGCGAGGAAAUAUAACAUAAGCAGACUGAGUGCACAGUGUUAUACACUAAAGACUAUAUUUGGUUCUCUGCCAUUAGCUUAAAGAAGUCAACUUUUAAAAGUCACACCAGAGUAAAUAUGACUGUAGUAGCAAAAAUAGCCCUCAGUGUGCUUAAUUUUCAUGGAUUCAGCUUGUUAUUUCUGAAUGUUUUCUCCUUAAAUGUUACAUAGUAGCUGUUGUAGUAAAUGUAAAAUAAAACUACAAUCUUAUGCCAUCUGAAAUGCUACACAGUAGCUAGUACACAAGGUAAAUUCCUGGGAAUAGAUGGCGAUCCAAUGGAGGCAACACAUUCAACUUUUUCCAAUGUUAUAAAUUCCUAUGCAAUCAGUUUGAUAAUACUUGCGAUAAUCAGUAUAUUACAUUUGCAUUGCAUGCAUUACAAUGUCAUCCGCAUUCACAUUAAAGGGAAAAUGAAGUUUACCCUUCAUUCCUUCCAUGUACAUCACCUAUUUAAGUUUGUGUGUUAGUGUUUGUCCCUUCUGAGGAGCAGCAACAAAACUAAAAUGAGAGAGACACUUAGCAUGAUUUCUAAUUUCUUGAUUUUUUUCUCCUUUCUUUCACCACCUCACAGCAGCCGGUGAAUACUUUUCUAGAAGACCUUCACCAUCUUUAAUGUCUUGUUUACACUCUGCAGUUCCAGGUUGCUUCAAUACGAUGCCAGUUAGCAGCCUAGGACUGCAACACAAUCCAAUUAAAUAAAGAGUGUUGUCUCUCCAGGUUCCUGUGUUCUCUAAUUGGGGCUGUGACUGCUCACUAAUCAGUGGAGGUACAGGUAGGCCCCGGAGGACGGCGAGACAGGGCCUCUCCUGUUAAUUGAAGAGAUGCUACACCCGGCCUCCUCCUUCUCCUCAUAGUCCAACAUGGAUGCACAGGAGUACUGACGCAUGCUAAAUUCGUCUACGCACCCACGUGCAUCAUCACUCCUCUCACCUUUUGUGUGGCCGGCAUGUAAGAGCUUGCUUUUCUUUUUUCAUUUUAACUCCUGAGCAAGCAGUGGUGUUAAGAGGUGACUGGCAGUCAUUUAAAGUGUGUUUGCUCUCUUGGUCACUUACGCCUAUGCAAUUCCCAGUACUUCCAUUUCUGCUUUAAUUAUAUCCAUAAAAAAUCUUUAAAAACAUUUUUUUAAACUGUGCAAUCAAAGUUGAACUUUCAUGGGUAAAAAAUGUUUUUAUUCUGACCCGAGAGGCUUUAGAUCACAGAUGUGGUGCUUUAAAUACUGAAUAAAUGAGUGCAAAAACGUCACAUCCGUGAUUUAAGUAAAUAAUUUUUAACCUAAAUUUGUAAGAGCAAGCUACACAAAAACAUGGCAAGCAUCGACUAGCGUGAGUCAUCCAACUCCAACUGUAACAGAAACAAUGAUUAACAUGCACACAUAUUUUUAAGCAGCUAAAAAUAGUUGUUUUUGUUUUUUUAAAAAAAACCUAACAGCUACUCGGAAAAUUGAAAAUAACCGUGCACGUAAGACAUUACGGGCCUGACUCAAAGC
ensembl:lncRNA